rnacentral:rRNA from 1 species
AUUGAACGCUGGCGGCAGGCCUAACACAUGCAAGUCGAACGGUAGCACAGAGGAGCUUGCUCCUUGGGUGACGAGUGGCGGACGGGUGAGUAAUGUCUGGGAAACUGCCCGAUGGAGGGGGAUAACUACUGGAAACGGUAGCUAAUACCGCAUGACGUCCUCGGACCAAAGUGGGGGACCUUCGGGCCUCACACCAUCGGACGUUCCCAGAUGGGAUUAGCUUGUAGGUGGGGUAAUGGCUCACCUAGGCGACGAUCCCUAGCUGGUCUGAGAGGAUGACCAGCCACACUGGAACUGAGACACGGUCCAGACUCCUACAGGAGGCAGCAGUGGGGAAUAUUGCACAAUGGGCGCAAGCCUGAUGCAGCCAUGCCGCGUGUAUGAAGAAGGCCUUCGGGUUGUAAAGUACUUUCAGCGGGGAGGAAGGCGUUAAGGUUAAUAACCUUGGCGAUUGACGUUACCCGCAGAAGAAGCACCGGCUAACUCCGUGCCAGCCGCCGCAGUAA